GAUAAACGCUGGCGGCGCACAUAAGACAUGUAAGUCGAACGGACUUAACUCAUUCUUUUAGAGUGAGAGCGGUUAGUGGCUGACUGGUGAGUAACACGUAAGCAACCUGACUAUCAGAGCGGAAUAACAGUGAGAAAUCAUUGCUAAUACCGCAUAAGCUAGUAGCAUCGCAAGAUGUAUCUAGAAAAGGAGUAAUCAGCAGAUAGAUGGGCUUGCGUCUGAUUAGCUAGUUGGUGGGGCAACGGCCUACCUAGGCGACGAUCAGUAGCCGGACUGAGAGGUUGAACGGCCACAUUGGGACUGAGAUACGGCCCAGACUCCUACGGGAGGCAACAGUCGGGAAUAUUGCGCAAUAGAGGAAACUCUGACGCAGUGACGCCGCGUAUAGGAAGAAGGUUUUCGGAUUGUAAACUAUUGUCGUGAGGGAAGAAAUUGACAGUACCUCAGGAGGAAGCUCCGGCUAACUAUGUGCCAGCCGCCGCGGUAA
rnacentral:rRNA from 1 species